CCGUGCAGCCGGGGCAGUAGCGGAGCCUUGUACCUGCAAUCCGCUUUAGCAGGGGUGUUGGCCGGCAGAGGGCUUUGGCUUUUAUGGCUGCCCUUUAUAAGUGGCGUUGAUAUCUGGGUCUUACGCAAUGGGAAUCCACGAACCGUGUCAGGGUAGGAAUACAGCAGCACUAAGAGGAAGCUUCCAUGUGCCGUAAGGGCGCCUGGGUUGAGUUAACUGUAAAGGUAACGCAUAGGGGUUUGGCUCGAAGCAGGUCGCACGG
rnacentral:SRP_RNA from 1 species